rnacentral:tRNA from 1 species
GGGGCUGUAGCUCAGUGGUAGAGUGCUUGCUUAGCAUGCAUGAGGCACUGAGAUCGAUCCUCUGCACCA